AAAAAAAUAACUAGAUCAGAAUAUUUUAGCAUCAACAAGUAAGACCCAGUUGGUGCUAAUUGGUGUUCAUUUUCAUCUUGUCUGAAAUUGGAGCAAUUAGGGGUCAGGUGUCUCGCUCAGGGACACUUUGACAGGAGCAGCCGGGGCUCAAACUGCCAACCUACCGGUUCCUGGCGCACCAUCUCUUCUCCAUGCACCACCGUCAACUCUCAGGGUACCGAGAUGAAAUGACGGUCCGACACUGAGUCCUGUGACCAUAUGGCCGUAGUUUAAUUUAGGAUCCUUUGAACCCAAAAUGUAAAAAAAAAAAAAAAAGAAAAUCAUUACUAUCCAGCCGUGCUAGCUGUCUGCCGCUGGUGGUAUGUAGCAUAAAAACCAAUGCCCCCCCCCACUUUAAUUUGUAGCUUAGCUACUUUGCAAUUGGCCGUCCUGCCGCCAAGAUUUAGA
ensembl:lncRNA